rnacentral:rRNA from 1 species
UACGCUGGCGGCGCGCAUAACACAUGCAAGUCGAGCGAGGGCUCAUUUCCCGCAAGGGAGAUGGGUUCCUAGCGGCGAACGGGUGAGUAACACGUGGGCAACCUUUCCUAUCGCGGGGGAUAACAGCGGGAAACCGCUGCUAAUACCGCAUGUCGUCAUCGGUCGCAUGGCCGGUGAAGAAAGCAGCAAUGCACGAUGGGGUGGGCCCGCGGCCUAUCAGCUAGUCGGUGGGGUAACGGCCUACCGAGGCGAUGACGGGUAGCUGGUCUGAGAGGACGACCAGCCACACGGGGACUGAGACACGGCCCCGACUCCUACGGGAGGCAGCAGUGAGGAAUCUUCCGCAAUGGGCGAAAGCCUGACGGAGCGACGCCGCGUGUGGGAUGAAGUCCUUCGGGAUGUAAACCACUGUUGGAGGGGAAGACUUCGACGGUACCCUCCGAGAAAGCCCCGGCUAACUACGUGCCAGCAGCCGCGGUAAUACGUAGGGGGCAAGCGUUAUCCAAAUUUACUGGGCGUAAAGCGCGUGUAGGCGGCUGGUUAAGUGUGAUGUGAAAUCUUCGGGCUCAACCCGAAAACUGCAUUGCAAACUGGCCUGGCUAAAAGUGCAGGA